rnacentral:tRNA from 1 species
GCCGGCCUAGCUCAAUUGGUAGAGCAACUGACUUGUAAUCAGUAGUUGGGGGUUCAAGUCCUCUGGCCGGCACCA